CUGUGACUCACCAAUAGGAAGCGUGCCCCAGUAGUACAACAGGGUGGGGAAUUAGCUCAAAUGGUAGAGCGCUCGCUUAGCAUGCGAGAGGUAGCGGGAUCGAUGCCCGCAUUCUCCAGUGUUUGUUUUCACUGUUUAUUCAUUGUGAAAUAAGAAAGUGGUGAAAACGUUCCCUGUUUGUACCUCUACGUGAGAAAAAAUAAAUGUGAAAGACUUUGGGUGAAUUGUAAACCGAACACGUUCACGUGUUGCUUUCAGGGUCUUGGUUUUGCUUUUCCUAAUGGUAUGGCUUCCUUUUGUGUUCGAGGGGGAAUACAAUCCUUAUUGGAAAGAACAAAACACUGACAAUUUAAUACAGUGGUAAACGACAUGAACAAAUUACAGAGAACAAUAAAUUAGGGAUUUUUAAUGUACCUUGAUAAAUGAGCUACGCUGUUCCAUAUGUUGUUUCUCCUAGCAAGAUUAUGUCCUUUCCUUUUGAAGCUUCACAUCUGUGCAAUACCAUGGAUAUUUUCUCUGUAAAACUAUGCUGCACAUUUUAUGUCAUUUUGAGAUAUUUUUAAUUCUGAUGUGAUUUUCUGACUCGCUGCUUGUACUCCAACCGUUUCACUGCUUGUACUCCAAGCUUGAGGAAGCAUGAGGAAACAG
rnacentral:tRNA from 1 species